AUGACUCCUUUCAGCCCCCUUGGGGAAUGUGAUGGGGAUGGCUGGGUGGGCAAUGGGCGUGGGCAUAGUCUGGGAUAAACAGGGAAUGUUAAGAGCACCUAGUGCUUGGUGUCUGGGAGGUCAUGAGGAAAGGCUUCACUGUUACUCUCAGGGUCAACCUGGUGUGAUGCACACACCAAUUCAGCAGCCAAGUUUAUCUAGGAUAUGCCAAUCUCACAAGUUAUAGAAACUUCCAAGAAGUAGCAACAGGACCCAGGAGCUCACAGCUGGGUUUUCACUUAAUCCUCGUACAGUGUUGCCUCAGCUUCUCAAAGUUUCUGGUGUUUAUGAAGAUCCAUAACAGCUGGCUGCAAACCCAACUCCUGAGAAUCAUUUCUGGGAGAAUGCCGAAGACUGCAUUUCAACUUCAAGAAUCUAUUUUGCUUAUUACUGAGUUGCAAUUUC
rnacentral:lncRNA from 1 species